rnacentral:misc_RNA from 1 species
UUCUUAAGCACAGUACACAGACAAUCUUCAGUUUUGACAAUGGUCAAAUCUUUAGAUGAUUUGAGAAAUGGAAAAUUAAGACAAAAACAAGUAUGUUGCUCUAUAAAACAGCUUGGUGCAGGGAAAUGUUUACCCAAAGAAGAAAGCUAUUUGUCUCCUUAGCCAAAAACCUCGUAAAAUUUCUCAACAACAAGUAAACCUGAGUCGAUAGAUUCCAACGGAUCCUUCCUAAGUCUGUGUCUUAAGCAGUUGGGAAUGACAGUGGCGAUAUCUUCUGGGGUUACCUUAUCUCUUCCUUUAAGUGCAGCCAAUGCUCUUGCUGCUCUGUUAGUGACUAUAUCACCUCUCAAUCCAUCGACAUUCAGUUCUGCACAGACCUUAGAGAUUUUAACGCGGAGAUCAUGAUCAAUCGUAACAGAAGAAAGCCCGCUCCUGGCUGAGGUGAUUUGGCUCUGGAGCUUUUCUUGCUCCCCCUUGUAUGAUUCCCGGAAUUCCUUGGGGUUCUUGUCAAAACGACCUCUUUCCUCGACGAUCUUCACUCUUAGUUCUGCAUCUCUCACAGUCCCGACUUGGGCAUGCAUUCCAAAUCGAUCAAGAAGCUGUGGCCUAAGUUCUCCUUCUUCAGGAUUACCUGAACCAAUAAGGAUAAAUCGAGCAGGGUGUGAAAUUGAUAUUCCCUCUCUUUCAACAGUGUUCCAUCCUGAUGCUGCAGAAUCCAAAAGAACAUCUACUAAAUGGUCGUCCAAAAGAUUAACCUCGUCGACAUAAAGUAUUCCUCUGUUAGCUUUAGCAAGAAGACCAGGCUCGAAUGCCUUCACACCCUCGGUAAGAGCUUUCUCAAUGUCGAUUGUCCCACACACCCUGUCCUCAGUAGCACCUAGUGGUAAAUCAACCAUGUUGAUUUUGGUGAGAGACACAGGAAGCUGCUCUCCCUUCCUCAAUUUGUCACGGACUUCAGCGCUCAUUACUUCUUGGUCAUCUGGAUCUGAAUUAAAUGGAUCACCAGAAAUAACUUUUAUUUCUGGAAGUAAAUCCACCAAAGACCUAACCGUGGUGGACUUCCCAGUUCCUCUAUCACCCAUAAUCAUCACGCCUCCAAUCUUUGGAUCUAUUACAUUCAGCAAAAGACACAACUUCAUCUCAUCUUGCCCCACUAUGGCGGGAAAUGGAUACACCGGUCUCUGGCUGUCUUCAGCAAGUUUCUGAGCCUGUUCUUGAGCAGGGCUGAUUUCAGUUGCAACAUUGGAAAUUGCCACAUGGAAUUGGGACCUCCCUUUCUUAACUGGGAGUCUAAUUCCUCCAUAAAACUUCCUCCCUUGGCUAUGUCCUGAAGAUGGGAAAAGGGAUAAAGCAGCAGACUUAGAGGAACGAGAAGUGAAGGGUGUAGAAGCUAAAAUUGCUGCUGCAGAAGAAGAAGAAGAAGUUCCCAAUAGUGAAGCCAUUUCAGUGAAGAAGAAGAAGAAGUUUUGGCAUCAGUGUAUUGGUCACUGCUUACUACUACUAACUAAUGGCUUGUG